GACGAACCGAGCGAACGUUGUUCGGAAUCACUGGGCUUAAAGGGCGCGUAGGCGGGUGAUCAAGUCCGAGGUGAAAUCCUCCAGCUCAACUGGAGAACUGCCUCGGAUACUGGUUGCCUUGAGGAAGGUAGGGGUGUGUUGAACGUUCAGUGGAGCGGUGAAAUGCAUUGAUAUUGAACGGAACUCCGGUGGCGAAGGCGACACACUGGACCUUUUCUGACGCUGAGGCGCGAAAGCUUUGGGAGCAAACGGG
rnacentral:rRNA from 1 species